rnacentral:rRNA from 1 species
GAUUGAACGCUGGCGGCAGGCCUAACACAUGCAAGUCGAGCGGAUGAAGGGAGCUUGCUCCUGGAUUCAGCGGCGGACGGGUGAGUAAUGCCUAGGAAUCUGCCUGGUAGUGGGGGAUAACGUCCGGAAACGGGCGCUAAUACCGCAUACGUCCUGAGGGAGAAAGUGGGGGAUCUUCGGACCUCACGCUAUCAGAUGAGCCUAGGUCGGAUUAGCUAGUUGGUGGGGUAAAGGCCUACCAAGGCGACGAUCCGUAACUGGUCUGAGAGGAUGAUCAGUCACACUGGAACUGAGACACGGUCCAGACUCCUACGGGAGGCAGCAGUGGGGAAUAUUGGACAAUGGGCGAAAGCCUGAUCCAGCCAUACCGCGUGUGUGAAGAAGGUCUUCGGAUUGUAAAGCACUUUAAGUUGGGAGGAAGGGCAGUAAGUUAAUACCUUGCUGUUUUGACGUUACCAACAGAAUAAGCACCGGCUAACUUCGUG